rnacentral:rRNA from 1 species
AGUGAACGCUGGCGGCAGGCCUAACACAUGCAAGUCGAACGGCAGCACAGGGGAGCUUGCUCCCUGGGUGGCGAGUGGACGGACGGGUGAGGAAUACAUGGGAAUCUACCCUGUCGUGGGGGAUAACGUAGGGAAACUUACGCUAAUACCGCAUACGACCGAGAGGUGAAAGCGGCGGACCGCAAGGCGUCGCGCGACUG